AUUGAACGCUGGCGGCAGGCCUAACACAUGCAAGUCGAACGGUAGCACAGAGGAGCUUGCUCCUUGGGUGACGAGUGGCGGACGGGUGAGUAAUGUCUGGGAAACUGCCCGAUGGAGGGGGAUAACUACUGGAAACGGUAGCUAAUACCGCAUAACGUCGCAAGACCAAAGAGGGGGACCUUCGGGCCUCUUGCCAUCGGAUGUGCCCAGAUGGGAUUAGCUAGUAGGUGGGGUAACGGCUCACCUAGGCGACGAUCCCUAGCUGGUCUGAGAGGAUGACCAGCCACACUGGAACUGAUACACGGUCCAGAGUCCUACGGGAGGCAGCAGUGGGGAAUAUUGCACGAUGGGGGCAAGCCUGAUGCAGCCAUGCCGCGUGUAUGAAGAAGGCCUUCGGGUUGUAAAGUACUUUCAGCGAGGAGGAAGGCGUUGUGGUUAAUAACCGCAGCGAUUGACGUUACUCGCAGAAGAAGCACCGGCUAACUCCGUGCCAGCCGCCGCGGUAA
rnacentral:rRNA from 1 species